GAGUUUCGGAUUGCGGUGACGUUGGUGGUUUGCUAUCGAUGACAAUGCGGGAAGUUCAUUGAACCUUAUCAUUUAGAGGAAGGAGAAGUCGUAACAAGGUUUCCGUAGGUGAACCUGCGGAAGGAUCAUUG
rnacentral:rRNA from 1 species